AGAGUUUGAUCAUGGCUCAGGACGAAUGCUGGCGGUGCGCUUAAUGCAUGCAAGUCGAGCGAAGCUUCAUAAUAGCUUGCUAUUUUGAAUGACUGAGCGGCGAACGGGUGAGUAACGCGUGAACAAUCUACCUUAAAUAUUGGGAUAGCUCAAGGAAACUUGAAUUAAUACUGGAUAAUCUUUUAUAUUCACAUGAAUAGUAAAGCAAAGGUCAGCCGAUUUAAGAUGAGUUCGCGUUCUAUCAGCUUGUUGGUAAGGUAAUGGCUUACCAAGGCUACGACGGAUAGCUGGUCUGAGAGGACGAUCAGCCACACUGGGACUGAGACACGGCCCAGACUCCUACGGGAGGCUGCAGCAGGGAAUCUUGCGCAAUGAGCGAAAGCUUGACGCAGCGACACCGCGUGUGGGAUGACGGAUCUAGGUUUGUAAACCACUUUCAGGAGGGAAGAAAUUGACGGUACCUCCACAAGAAGCCCCGGCCAACUACGUGCCAGCCGCCGCGGUAAUUC
rnacentral:rRNA from 1 species